CUUGCAGCCACGACCCCGGAACGGGAGGAGGAGAGAGGCGGCCUCAGCUUAGCAGAGCCAAGCCUUUGGAAAAACAGGCUGCUCCUCCCCAGCGGCCAGCAGCGGCCCGGGCAGGGCGAGCGGCGCGGCGCGGCCGGUGCGCGCCGAGCGGCUCCCAGGAACCCCUGACUCUGGAGUGGCGGAUUGGAAUCUUCCUGCUUGGGGAAUCCAAGACUGGCUUGAGACCUCCUGAUAUCUCUGAGCCUUGAUUUCCACAUCUGUGAAACAAGGACAAUGGAGGAGACAGUCAGAUGACCUACACCUUAAGAUGAGAAAACCAAGCCAUUUGUCCAAGGGCUCACAGCCAACAAAAGAAAGGACCAGGAUCCACACCGUGCCACGUGGGAGCCUCAGUGACACAGAUGACCUGCAGGAGUACUGGUGUCCUUUGCCAGGGCUGCACACCUACCUGAUCCCAGUACUCAGACAAGUCAAAGGAGAAGACCCGGCAGGAACCAGGGAGGCUACAGGCCCAGGGUGCCCAGAAUCAACAAGUGCCCUGGACAGCGUUCUGCGCAUCACCCAAGCUCCAUCAUGUCAUGUUGAAUGAAGACAGUCCUGGCAUCGGAGAGGAAGAUCUAUUUCAACAAAUAACUGCACACAAAAUACGCAGGAGAACAUAGCUUCUGCAAGGGCAGGAAUCUUGACUACCUGGUAUGCUGAUACAUCCCCAACACCUGCAACAGCGCCUGACACACAGCUGGAGCUCCAUAUAUUCACUUACCAUUUCAAAAUCAACUUUACUGGGGUGCCUGGGUGGCUCAGUCUUUUCAACGUCCGACUUCGGCUCCGUUCAUGAUCCUAAGUCGGACUCCCUGCUCAGCAGGGAGUCUGCUUCUCCCUCUCCCUCUACCCCUCCUCCAUGCUUGUGCUCUCUCUCAAAUAAGUAAAUAAAACCUUUCAAGAAAAUAAACUUUAUUGAAGUAUAAUUUACA